rnacentral:snRNA from 1 species
AGAUAUAAGAGCGAUCUGGCUGCGACAUCUGUUACCCCAUUGAUCGCCAGGGUUGAUUCGGCUGAUCUGGCUGGCUAGGCGGGUGUCCCCCUCCUCCCUCACCACUCCAUGUGCAUCCUUCCCAAAGCUGUGGGCUGGUUUGAAGAGGAUGGCCAUCCCCGAUAGAGGAGGACCAUUCUUCUCAGUCAAGGGUGUACGAGUAGCUGCGUUCCCCUGCUAAAAUCUCCAAACAAGCUCUCAAGAAAAAUGACCUGUACCAAGUCAAUUGUUGCUAAAGCUAAUAUUGCUAAAUAUUGCUCAAUAUGACCACAUUUGUCUUGUU